rnacentral:tRNA from 1 species
CGGGGUGUAGCGCAGUCCGGUUAGCGCACCUGGUUUGGGACCAGGGGGUC